AUCUCUACUUGGAGAUUGCUUCUUUUGGAGUGUUUGGUGAGACUGAUCCUCAAAAAGGGGGGUCAAAGAGGAAAAACUGACCUGAGUACUUUGAACUGGUCUUCAUGGGAGCCAAUCUCAUUUCUAUGACCAUGGAGGGAGAAUACUUCCCUUUAUCCCCCUUAUCACUUUGUUGAACAAGAGAGAAAACAAUAGAGAAGACUGAGAGAAGACUCCCGAGGGAUCACAUAAAGGACUUUCCACUUACAUGACUCGUGCUCCCUCAUCAAGAAUAGAUCUAGAAAACUACAAAGGUGCCUAUUAUCUGAAUUUAAGCAUCCCUAAAUAGAUAAAACAGCACUAAAGGAAAUGGUAUCUUCAGGUAUACGAGGUAAGGAGAGAAUAUUAUCUGAGGAACAGGAAGGUAGAAAAAAUCUGGAAAAUUAUAUUCUGAAGGAAAAUUGAGGCUGCAUCUUUCCACUUGCUUGAAUUCACAAGUCACUUGUGUAUCCAGUACAGGAAAAAUCUUCAAAGUAGCACUGUUUCUGCAUCUGUCUUCUGAUUUUCCUCAUUUCACAUCUAAAACUGUAUACCCAGUGCUGUAUGCUUUUAGAAUUUUCCUGCAUAUUAGAAUAAUCAUCAUAAUCAAUUUGGUAACUGCCUGUUAAAAACCUUAAUGUGAAUAUCAUUUUUUUUCCUGACCAUAGCAGCACGUUGAAGGUUAAUCUGAGUUGAAUUAUUUUUGUUAUGUUAGCAUUGCAUGAGAGAGUCCACCCCAUAUAAGGCACACCUCAUGUUCUUGGGAGUUUUGAAAUGAAGAGAUAAAAAAUGAUGGAGCUAGCAUGCUCAUGUUGAAGGUGAAACUAUUUUGUUGUACAAUGACAAUUUUGUUGUAUAAUGACAAAACAAUUUGUUCUUGCAUAAAUGAACUGUUUUGCCAC